rnacentral:rRNA from 1 species
ACCAGACUCCUACGGUAGGCAGCAUUAUUGAAUCUUCCACAAUGGACGAAAUUCUUCUGGAGCAACUCCUCUUGAGUGACUAAUUUUUUCGGCUCUUCCCGCUCUGUUUUUCUUGAAGAAAUAUCUCUGUAGUAACUUUCCUUUAUUUGCCUUUCCUUACUUAUCCCUUCACGGCUACCUCCUUGCCAGCACCCUCUUUAAUACGUAUUUUUCAAGCGUUGUCCGGAUUUAUUGGGCGGAAAGCGAGUGCAGGAGGUGAAAUAAGUAUGAGUGGAAAGCCUUAGGAGCAACCGGAGAAUUGCAUCAGAAACUGUUGAACUUGAGUGCAGAAGAGGAGAGUGGAACUAAAUGUGUAGCGGUGGAAUGCGUAGAGAGAGGGAAGAACAAAAGUGGCGAAGGCGGAGAUCUGGUCUGAAACUGACGCUGAGGCUCGAAAGCAUGGGGAGAGAACAGGAUUAGAUACCCCAGUA